rnacentral:rRNA from 1 species
ACUCCUACGGGAGGCAGCAGUGAGGAAUAUUGGUCAAUGGACGCAAGUCUGAACCAGCCAUGCCGCGUGCAGGAUGACGGUCCUAUGGAUUGUAAACUGCUUUUGUACGAGAAGAAACAACAUUACGUGUAAUGUCUUGACGGUAUCGUAAGAAUAAGGAUCGGCUAACUCCGUGCCAGCAGCCGCGGUAAUACGGAGGAUCCAAGCGUUAUCCGGAAUCAUUGGGUUUAAAGGGUCCGUAGGCGGUUUAGUAAGUCAGUGGUGAAAGCCCAUCGCUCAACGGUGGAACGGCCAUUGAUACUGCUGAACUUGAAUUACUGGGAAGUAACUAGAAUAUGUAGUGUAGCGGUGAAAUGCUUAGAGAUUACAUGGAAUACCAAUUGCGAAGGCAGGUUACUACCAGUGGAUUGACGCUGAUGGACGAAAGCGUGGGUAGCGAACAGGAUUAGAUACCCUGGUAGUCCACGCCGUAAACGAUGGAUACUAGCUGUUGGGGGCAACUUCAGGGCUAAGCGAAAGUGAUAAGU